AUUGAACGCUGGCGGCAGGCUUAACACAUGCAAGUCGAGCGAGUGGCGGACGGGUGAGUAAUGUCUGGGAAACUGCCCGAUGGAGGGGGAUAACUACUGGAAACGGUAGCUAAUACCGCAUACCAUCGGAUGUGCCCAGAUGGGAUUAGCUAGUAGGGGGGGUAACGGCUCACCUAGGCGACGAUCCCUAGCUGGUCUGAGAGGAUGACCAGGCACACUGGAACGGGGACACGGUCCAGACACCUACGGUGGGCAGCAGUGGGAAAUAUUGCACAAUGGGCGCAAUCCUGAUGCAGCCAUGCCGCGUGUAUGAAGAAGGCCUUCGGGUUGUAAAGUACUUUCAGCGAGGAGGCGUUACUCGCAGAAGAAGCACCGGCUAACUACGUGCCAGCAGCCGCGGUAAUAC
rnacentral:rRNA from 1 species